rnacentral:rRNA from 1 species
GACGAACGCUGGCGGCGUGCUUAACACAUGCAAGUCGAACGGAAAGGCCCUGCUUUUGUGGGGUGCUCGAGUGGCGAACGGGUGAGUAACACGUGAGUAACCUGCCCUUGACUUUGGGAUAACUUCAGGAAACUGGGGCUAAUACCGGAUAGGAGCUCCUGCUGCAUGGUGGGGGUUGGAAAGUUUCGGCGGUUGGGGAUGGACUCGCGGCUGAUCAGCUUGUUGGUGGGGUAGUGGCUUACCAAGGCUUUGACGGGUCGCCGGCCUGAGAGGGUGACCGGCCACAUUGGGACUGAGAUACGGCCCAGAGUCGUACGGGAGGCAGCAGUGGGGAAUAUUGCACAAUGGGCGGAAGCCUGAGGAAGAAACGCCGCGUGCGGGAUGACGGCCUUCGGGUUGUAAACCGCUGUCGCUUGUGACGAAGCGGGAGUGACGGUAAUGGGUAAAGAAGCACCGGCUAACUACGUG